rnacentral:rRNA from 1 species
UACAGGCUUAACACAUGCAAGUCGAGGGGCAUCAGGAAGAAAGCUUGCUUUCUUUGCUGGCGACCGGCGCACGGGUGAGUAACACGUAUCCAACCUGCCCUUUACUCGGGGAUAGCCUUUCGAAAGAAAGAUUAAUACCCGAUGGCAUAAUGAUUCCGCAUGGUUUCGUUAUUAAAGGAUUCCGGUAAAGGAUGGGGAUGCGUUCCAUUAGGUUGUUGGUGAGGUAACGGCUCACCAAGCCUUCGAUGGAUAGGGGUUCUGAGAGGAAGGUCCCCCACAUUGGAACUGAGACACGGUCCAAACUCCUACGGGAGGCAGCAGUGAGGAAUAUUGGUCAAUGGGCGCUAGCCUGAACCAGCCAAGUAGCGUGAAGGAUGAAGGCUCUAUGGGUCGUAAACUUCUUUUAUAUAAGAAUAAAGUGCAGUAUGUAUACUGUUUUGUAUGUAUUAUAUGAAUAAGGAUCGGCUAACUCCGUGCCAGCAGCCGCGGUAAUACGGAGGAUCCGAGCGUUAUCCGGAUUUAUUGGGUUUAAAGGGAGCGUAGGUGGACUGGUAAGUCAGUUGUGAAAGUUUGCGGCUCAACCGUAAAAUUGCAGUUGAUACUGUCAGUCUUGAGUACAGUAGAAGUGGGCGGAAUUCGUGGUGUAGCGGUGAAAUGCUUAGAUAUCACGAAGAACUCCGAUUGCGAAGGCAGCUCACUGGACUGCAACUGACACUGAUGCUCGAAAGUGUGGGUAUCAAACAGGAUUAGAUACCCUGGUAGUCCACACAGUAAACGAUGAAUACUCGCUGUUUGCGAUAUACAGUAAGCGGCCAAGCGAAAGCAUUAAGUAUUCCACCUGGGGAGUACGCCGGCAACGGUGAAACUCAAAGGAAUUGACGGGGGCCCGCACAAGCGGAGGAACAUGUGGUUUAAUUCGAUGAUACGCGAGGAACCUUACCCGGGCUUAAAUUGCAGUGGAAUGAUGUGGAAACAUGUCAGUGAGCAAUCACCGCUGUGAAGGUGCUGCAUGGUUGUCGUCAGCUCGUGCCGUGAGGUGCCGGCUUAAGUGCCAUAACGAGCGCAACCCUUAUCUUUAGUUACUAACAGGUUAUGCUGAGGACUCUAGAGAGACUGCCGUCGUAAGAUGUGAGGAAGGUGGGGAUGACGUCAAAUCAGCACGGCCCUUACGUCCGGGGCUACACACGUGUUACAAUGGGGGGUACAGAAGGCAGCUAGCGGGUGACCGUAUGCUAAUCCCAAAAGCCUCUCUCAGUUCGGAUCGAAGUCUGCAACCCGACUUCGUGAAGCUGGAUUCGCUAGUAAUCGCGCAUCAGCCACGGCGCGGUGAAUACGUUCCCGGGCCUUGUACACACCGCCCGUCAAGCCAUGGGAGCCGGGGGUACCUGAAGUACGUAACCGCAAGGAUCGUCCUAGGGUAAAACUGGUGACUGGGGCUAAGUCGUA